GAAAAUGUGCUUUGAUAAAGGCAGUUGGUGUCUUAUUAAAGAAAACUAGUGAAUUAAAGAGUUUUGGACCAUGAAUGGAGAAGCUUACUGAAAAUAAGGCCUUUCAAGUGAAGGAGAGUAAGGAAAGAAGUUGGGGUAUUCCAAGACGUGAAGAAUCCUGUCUUUUGUGUGGAAUUCAAGAUAUUGAUCAACUAUUCCCACAAGAAGAAGCAUUUGCCUCCAGGGUACCAUGGACGUGUGGCAAUAUAAAUCCAAAGGACAACUGAGGCCUAGUUAAAAA